GUAGGUACAACGGAAGAACAUGAAACCACAAUGCCAUUUUGCAAUGGAGCACCACCAUGCAAUCGCAUGACCGCUCCUCCCUUACCCAAGAUAUCAGUAGAUUCCAUCAAGCCUCCAAUGUGUGCGUUAGCCCAGCUCACCAAUCUAUACCAGAAAAGUUUAAGGAUUCGCUCGAGACGUGAGCGCUUCUGCAAGGUCAGCUUAAGUGCCUCUAAAAGAACGCCCAGUGGAACAUGAAAAAAUGGCCACAGACGUAGAGGAGCAACAGAAAAAAGUGCUACAGAAAAAUGAACACAAAAUACAGCCAGAAGAAGGAGUCAUGUCAAGGCCGAGACUCAGAAGUCUCACUAGGAAUCGCCCUAAUAUGAAUGAAGACAGAGCUUCUGUUGAUUUGAACAUCCCCCAGAGGGCCUCAACCAAGGAUAAUAUAAUUGAUUCCGACACCAGAAUGUCUUGCUGAUUGGCAUUGAAAUGUGGCCAGCAAAACUACAAAAAAUGCUUUAAAAAAUGCUUUAUAUGCUAAAACUAAAAGAGCUUGGUGCUUUCAGCAGCUCUAGUUCAAGAUAAAUAAUCUAGAGACCCGUAACAACAUUUCAAUGCAUUACUUUUGUUUCUGUCAGGCAUCAAAUUCAUCCCCCACCCCCACCCCCACCCUUGUCCAUGCCCAUUUUAGCCACACUCUUCACUGAAAAAAAUGAUACUUUGGACCAACUUAAAAAAAUUACUCUAAUUUGUUACAUUUAAAUUUAUUAAUUUUUCUCCAAUUAUAUUUAUGAUUCAGUCAAAAUCCUAUAUUUUAAUUUAAUAUCAACUAAAAUAUUUAUUUACUCAAACUUAAAAAAAAUACUUGCAAUCAAAGUAAAAAGACUACUUAUUAUAAAGACCACAUACUCAUUUAUUAACUUUGUUUCAACUUAUUUUUUUAAUUUAGGAAAAAUUAUAUUUACUAUUACAUUCAAGUAUAGUUUUUACUUUUAAGUAAACUAAUUAAAUUACUCUAAUUUUGUUACAUGCAAUUUUAUAAAUUUUUCUCAAGUUAAUUUCCUGAGUCAGUACAAACUACAAUUUCUUGCUUAAUCUUAAACUUGCUUAAAUGUAUUUUCUUUAAUCACAAAACUUACUAAAUGUAGGGCAACAUAUUCACAAACAAAAGCUACAUUUUACAUGGAUAGAUUUUUCACUUUUGAUACAUUUAAAACAAUGUUUGAUUUGGUUUACUCACAACAAAUAAAAGACAAGAAUAUUUUCCUCAAAAGACCAUAAUAUUUAUUCAGAUGUCUUAACAUUUACCAACUUUUCUGUAGAUACCAAAAGAUAUAAAAACACUAAAAAAAUCAUAAUAAUCAAAUAAGUAAAAUAUCACUAUGAUUAAAAAAAAUGCAUUUUAAAGCUAGUAAAGCUCGGCACCAACACAAUCUACUAAACAUAAAAAACACAGAAACAAAAUACACUAAAUAAAAUUAAUUACGGCCUUUUCAAUGUUUCUUCUUUUAAGUUUUUGCAAUAUUUCUAUAACCUUAAACAUAUACACCGACCAGUGCCACGUGUGAAACUGUACAUUUCUCCUUGAGACAGCCAUUAAGAACUAAAAAAACAGUUGUAAAACAGUGAAGAGCUGUUAACUUUAUCCAUUGGUGAACUGACCAGAACGUAUUAAUGGUACAUUACAAAGUGAAGGCAAAAAAUAAUAAAACUGAACCAAGUUAAACCAGGUCAAUUGCUAGGAGUGCAAUCUAUGAACAAAGGUUAGCACUUUUGCUGAUUGUGAAUUUAGCAUAUUCACAUUUUCAGUGCCACAAUACCUCUAUUACAAAGAAUUAUGUAAACAAUGACCUGUUCCAUUAUCCUAAAAUGUAUCUAAAUACAAGCAACAAACAAAACAUGCUGCAUCCAAAUGUCUUUCUUUGAUAAAUCCAAUAUUUAAAGCUUGGCACUAAGACUGCA